rnacentral:lncRNA from 1 species
UGCCACCAAAUUUUGUGUGGAGCCAGGGAAUAAUAGUCAGAGGCUCCCCACAAUUUUUGGUGAUUUUUGGACAUACAAAUAAAUUAUUAAAAUUCCUAGAAGUUUUAUUCACUAAUUAAAAGAGCAAAUUUUUACAGACAUGUAAACUACCAGAAAACAGAAUCCACUAUUUUUCUUGUGUUCUACCCACUUUAUGGAACCUAUACAAAAACUUUCAUCAUUUUUGGAUUAGCACACAAUUUAUCACAUAAUUUCAAACAUCAAACAAAAAUUGCAUAAAAAGAAAAAAGAAAAAGAUCUUUGCGUAGUGGGCGGCCUGGAUCUUGGCCCGCAGGCCGGCCCAUGCGCGCUCGGCCCGCGCACGCACUGCGCGCGCUGCCCCUCCCCUCAUGUGGACACUGACGAGCGGGCCUCGCUCGUCAGGCUCUCCCUUCCCCUCUCUCUGCGGAAGCUG